UAAUACGGAGGGUGCAAGCGUUAUCCGGAUUCACUGGGUUUAAAGGGUGCGUAGGAGGGCAGGUAAGUCAGUGGUGAAAUCUCCGAGCUUAACUCGGAAACUGCCGUUGAUACUAUCUGUCUUGAAUAUUGUGGAGGUGAGCGGAAUAUGUCAUGUAGCGGUGAAAUGCUUAGAUAUGACAUAGAACACCAAUUGCGAAGGCAGCUGGCUACACGAAUAUUGACACUGAUGCACGAAAGCGUGGGGAUCAAACAGGA
rnacentral:rRNA from 1 species